UACGCUGCGCUUGAACUGUGCCCGAGGCCCUCGUGUAACUUUUGAGGUUAAUGUUAAAUGUGCGUAAAUCUGUCAUUAAAUGUGGAUGG